UACAGAGGGUGCGAGCGUUGAUCGGAGUUACUGGGCGUAAAGGGCGCGUAGGCGGUUUAAUGAGUGUGCUGUGAAAGCCCCGGGCUUAACCUGGGAAGUGCAGUGCAAACGAUUAGACUGGAGUAGAUGAGAGGGUGGUGGAAUUUCCGGUGUAGCGGUGAAAUGCGUAGAGAUCGGAAGGAACGUCAAUGGCGAAGGCAGCCACCUGGCAUCAUACUGACGCUGAGGCGCGAAAGCGUGGGGAUCGAACAGGAUUAGAUACCCUGUAGUCC
rnacentral:rRNA from 1 species